GCACAUGCUCCCCUAAAAAGACCAAAAAAAAAAAAAAAAAAAGAAAAAAGAAAUUUUAAAAAUCUAACUUAUUCUAGUCAGAAGAUAGUUUUAAUCAACAUAUGAGAUCAUAAGAAAAUCCAUUCAUACCUCUUAAAUAGCACCCCACUUUUAAGAGCUGGUCCCAGUGCACUAACCAAAUUUCCCAAUAAGUGUUUCUAAUAGGAAAUUUAAAUAUAAAAAGAGUCCCUGCUCACUUAAAUCCCCUGUGUAGGCUAUUUUCACAUGGCAGUUACUUAAGAAUCAGAAAGAACUAAAUUCAAAUUCUAGUUCCACCACUUAACUAUGAAAAAUCGAACAAGUACUUAGUCUCCUAGUUUAUUCAUUUAUGAAAUUAUCCUUUUGGGACUGCUAUAAAGAUUGCUAUAAGUGUAUACACACACACACAUAAACACACACAAACACAUUAGGGUAAUCUCAGUGGUGAAAUACAAAACAAGGUAUUAACCUGGCAUCCUUUUAUCUGGUUAUUCAGAAUCCUGGUUCCUUUUAUAUCAUUGCACCACUAUCUACUAUAGCUUCCUCAGAGUCACCAAAAAGCUCCUCUGCAUCCAAUAAGCAAAAAUGUUGAGAGUGAGGAAAACCAACUGGGACAUUUUGUGGCAAGGCCUGGAAAUGGAGUUCAAUACUUUCAUGAACAUUCCAUUGACCAGAACCUGACCCCAGGGUUCCAAACUACCUACAAGGUAAAGAUGCUAAACAUAGAACUGUCUGCCCAGAAGAGGAAGGGAGAUUGGUUGGCACCUAGUCAUUCUCUGUUAUAAAUGAAACCUAGGAAAAAGGUGCCUCCUAUCCCUUAUGAAACAUGUCCAAGAACAUAGUGAAAAGGAGAAGGCAAAUUAUCUCCUUUCUUCUUUGAUUAUUUGAUGGAUCCCUGCUGUUAGGUAUUUCUUUCUUUCCAGGAGAGAUGCAUUUGCAUUUACCCAUUUGUUUUUCUGGGCUCUUAAAAAAAAAAAAUCACAAGAUAAACAAUAUGCAUUUUCCUGACUAUCUUAACAGGUUGGAGCAGUGGGGUAGGUGUGGGAUUAGAGAUGAACUAAGUGAUUUCAUGGGUAUAUAAUAUAAAACUUUAGAAACUUGAACAUGCAAUAGAAUGCAAAAGUCUCUUGAACUUUUAAGAGGAGAAAUCACGAAAAUUCAAAGGAAUGUCAUAAACAAAGGAGGUCCUUUAUGCUAAAAAUCUCAUUACUAUGUGUGUGUAUUCAUUUUGCUUGUAGGAUCAUUUCAGAGGAAAAGUACAAGAAACACUGAUCAUUUCAGGCAAACAUUACCUUUUGUGUUUUCAAUUAUUAAACUGAAUAUUUCUAUUUCUUUGUGUGUCAAAUAUUUUAUGUUUCAUAUCUAUAAUACAAGAAUACGCAGUUACUACAUAAUAGGAUAAUCUGAAUAUUACACACUGGAUAUACACUCUCAUUAUACCCAGACUGCCUUCCCACACCUUCAGUAUAAAUACACUGACACAUUCUUUCAGCUAAAAGCAGUUAUCACCCAAAUGGCACUAUGUCUGCAAUGCCAUGGCACUGUUAAGAGGACUUCUCUCUUGCACAUGUUCAAAGAUAGGCAGGUGGAGAGGUGUUGUAAGACAAAGUAUAGGCAAGCCAAUUAACUAGUUCAGAUGUGCGUCUGUCAACAUUUUGGAAGAGGCCGCUUGUUGUUGUCAGGGUUUCCAGCCCUAAAACAUUUGUUUAUUUGAUGUGUAAUAGAGACAAAGGUUUACUCUUUCACAUCACAUCUUUAUUAUUUUAUCUUAGAAAAGAAAUUCAUGCUACUGGUAUCUAAGGAAACAAAAUAAGAUGCAUGAAGAGGUAAUGAUUUUCCUCCUUCUCUUUCCACUCCAACCCGGGGUAGCCAAUGUUGACAUUUUUCUCCUAGGUUAUACAAAUAUAUACAAGCAUACGUGUAUACAUGAUUUUUAGGGGGUUUUUUUUGCACAAAAAUGGAAUUGUGCCAAGUCUGUUGCAUUUCUCAUUUGACAUAUUACAAACAUUCCUUCAGUUCAUAAAAUGUGGAUCUAAUUCACUUUAAAAUAUAGAAUUAUAUUCUCUAGUAUGAUAUACCACAACUGAUUCAAUUGGACAUUCAUGGGGUAUACUGCCUGUAAAUAUGUUUGCAAAUUGCUAUAAAAAAUCUGCAAUAAAUAGCCUUAUAUAGAUACCUUUACAUAACGGAGAUUUUAUUUUUUAUUGUAAGCUAGAUUUUCAAAGAGCCAAUGACUAUAUUUAUUUCUAAUUUUGAGAUCGAUCUAUUUAAUAUGCACUUAUCUGUUCUCUAAUUCGAUUUGUCUGGUCUUUUCCUAGGCCAGUAACAUAUUGUUUUGAUUAUAGGGUGCAGUAGAGAUGACAAGUGCUCAUCAGUAUCUGUGUUUUCCUCGUCUUCCUGGGUACACUACUAGAAGACAUUUUCUCGUCUUCUUGCAUUUAGGUGAGGCCACAUGAUUAAUGACUAUUCACCAAGGAAGUUUAGAAAAAGUGGGACUUCAUCUUUUUGCCAGUCCCUGGAUAGGUGAAGACAUUCAGGGAAAGGAAAGCUACAAGCGAGAAGGAACACAGGUGUAAUGGUUUAUCAGUGCAUUGCCUCUCAGCACUAAAUCUUUGCCUCUUUGCCCUGCUUUGCUACCCUGGAGCCCGAUUGUAUAAACAAACACUUUUUUUUGGACAACUGGCACAAGGUUAAGCUUGUCAGCAGAAGGUGUUAGAAAGAUGCUAAGAUGAAGGGGCUUCUCAUCCUGGUUCCAAGGUGGCAAGAGGUUAAGCUUGUGAGCAGAAGGUGUUAGAAGGAUGCUGAUAUGAAGGGGCUUCUCAUCCUGGUUCCAAGGUCCAUUUCCAUUUCAUCUCAUCUCAGAAAACAGCUUGGGUGGAACAUAUCAGAAAGGUUAUCCGCAUUUUCCAUCAGACUCCAUAGAUCCAUGCCAAACAGUCAAUAAUGCACUGCAGCCCGCUUGCACUGCCUUCUAAGAGCCAAUUAUGUGGAUCUCUCUCCCACUUCCCAUUCGGUGACUUAACAUCAGCAAGCUGAAUUCUGCAUAGUGACUAUGCACACCUGGAAGUCAGCAAACACUGCAAAUAUCAGUGGUUUGGGUUUGUGUUGGGUUGGGGUUGGGGAUUUCUGUUUGUUUGGAGGGCCAGUUAACCAGCACAACACUGCAUACAUUCUAUAAAACUCUGUGUUUAAUCUGCACAUGGAGAUUCAAGUCUCUUGAUUCCCUCCCACAUGAACCAGCCUAGCCCUCGGGGGCAGAGUAAUAAGAACAGGGAGAGACAGAUGGAACGUGAUGAUUCCACCGCUCGGACGCCACACAGACCACAGGCACGUGAUAUUCUGCCUGUUCUGGUCCAUGAUUUUCUCCAGGCAACAAUACUGAGCAGAACGAUUCUAGCAACAUGGAUAUGCAACUAUGUAAUUUGUUUAUUUAAUUUGUUAAUUAUACUGACAUGAUUAGAGUUCAGACUUGAGGACAAAGAAGUGUUAUUAAACCACAUUCUAAAGAGGGGGUCUGGGGAUCAAUAUUGCUUACACAAGAUCUAAUGAAAAGCAGAAGAAUCAGGGGCUAUAACCCCCAUCCAGGCCUAUCCUAACUCCACCCCACCCCAACCUCCUGUAUAAGGUGAUAACCAAAGGUAGAGAAGAGAAGGUUUUCAAGUCAUUGGGCUUAUGGGAUGCAAUGUUCAUGGAAAAAGUUACUUUCCUAGCUGUCAAGCCAAGAUGGCAAGAGGAGAUUCUCUUAAGGGAUUUUUUUUUUUUUUGUCUUUUUUUUGCUAUUUCUUGGGCCGCUCCCGCGGCAUAUGGAGGUUCCCAGGCUAGGGGUCAAAUCAGAGCUGUAGCCACUGGCCUACGCCAGAGCCACAGCAACACGGGAUCUGAGCCGUGUCUGCAACCCACACCACAGCUCACGGCAAUGCUGUGGUGCUCACGGCAUUGAAAUAGCUGAUCUCCCAUGUGUGAGUUGUUCCUGCUAGCCUGCGGCUCUUCUCUAGCACAGGAGAUCAAGUCUGUACCUCCAGCUAAUUUCCUCAACAUGUCUUAAUAUUAUAGUAAGUGGUCCUAGGGUGUCGUGUCUGGCAUCUAUAUAAUAAUUUCUCGGUGAUAACUUUACUCUUAGUUGAUUUGUUUCCAAGUCUAUGAAAAAGAUAUUAAAUACUGCUGAAUAAAACAACGCAAGAACAGAAGACUUAUUUUUCUGGGACAAACACAAGUUGGUGCUAACUGGUUUAUCUGAUUUCACUUCACUUGUACUUAGAGUUCUAUAGAUUUUAUUUUAAUGCAAGUAUUUUCCCCUUCAGAUAAAAGUCUGCUUAUUUUUUAAAUAUUUUUAAACAUAAAUACAUAUUGUUGAAAUUUUUAAUUCUCAUUUUACUCUUCAACAAAAACAAAGUCUCGAUCUAAUUUCUCCUUCCACUUGCCCAAGCUGCCAUCCCCCAAACUCACUAUUUAUCUGCACAGUAACUUAGCUUUUCAGAAGUCCAGAGAUUACAUCGCAUGCUCUGAUAAGUAAAUGACUCAAUGGCUUGAGGUGAACAUAGAAAAAUUAAUAAAAGCUUUGAAAGUUCAGUCUUUUUUCUCAUCCCACUCCAAUCUUUUUUCCCAACCAAAGAUAUGCAUCAUUUUGCCUCCUCUCAGAAAGCAAAAGCAAUUAUAAUUGUUUUAUUUUAGAUAAAAUUGUCACCAUCCAAUAUAAUUAGGCAUAUUGGGGUAUGCAAAUAAAGGGACACUAAGCUAAAUUUAUUCUGUAAACAAAGCUGAGGCUGAGGAAGUGUAUCAGUACCAAUUUUUUUCGAUAUCUGAGUUUAUGUCUUGGUAUGUGUUCUCCCUGCCACCUCAUUGGCCCCACUCCCUAACGAAUCACAUCUGGCUGUUGAACACAUUCAUAUAACUCUCCUGAAUUCUGCAGGCAGUUCAUAUUGACCUGAAAUAAAUGUUGACUAUACAGAUGCAUGUAUGUAUGCCUCCCAUUAAGAGGGAGCAUGCCUUCUUUUCAAGCAUCCAUAAAACAUUUGUAAAUAUUGUUUCAAGAAUGGGAAAACAAAUCAACCAAGAUUAGACCAGCUUAAAGCCCAUAAAAUAAAAAAGAUCAUAACAGAUGAAAAAGAAGCAUUGCAAACUAAUGCAUAUGGAAGAAUUGUCUAAAAGUUUUGGGGAAAUUACACUUUUGAAGAACAGAUUAAGUUGGAUCACAAUUUCAAACUAUCAUUCAUUAAAAUGAAUUUCAUUUAAAAAUAAAAGCAGAAAACAGAAACGCAACCAUUUAACUGAUCGCAGAAAGGAUAAACACUUUGUAAAUAAAGACACAAAUGAAACACAUCAUUGGAAAAUGCUGUUAAAUUCACCUAUGUAGAAUUAGAAGCCCUCUGAAAGGAAAAACUUCAUAAAAUUAUAAGACAAUUCAAAUUGAGGAGUUCCCGUCGUGGCGCAGUGGUUAACGAAUCCUACUAGGAACCAUGAGGUUUGGGAUUCGAUCCCUGGCCUUGC